rnacentral:rRNA from 1 species
AAUGGGUCAGCGACUUAUAUUCUGUAGCAAGGUUAACCGAAUAGGGGAGCCGAAGGGAAACCGAGUCUUAACUGGGCGUUAAGUUGCAGGGUAUAGACCCGAAACCCGGUGAUCUAGCCAUGGGCAGGUUGAAGGUUGGGUAACACUAACUGGAGGACCGAACCGACUAAUGUUGAAAAAUUAGCGGAUGACCUGUGGCUGGGGGUGAAAGGCCAAUCAAACCGGGAGAUAGCUGGUUCUCCCCGAAAGCUAUUUAGGUAGCGCCUCGUGAACUCAUCUUCGGGGGUAGAGCACUGUUUCGGCUAGGGGGUCAUCCCGACUUACCAACCCGAUGCAAACUGCGAAUACCGAAGAAUGUUAUCACGGGAGACACACGGCGGGUGCUAACGUCCGUCGUGAAGAGGGAAACAACCCAGACCGCCAGCUAAGGUCCCAAAGUCAUGGUUAAGUGGGAAACGAUGUGGGAAGGCCCAGACAGCCAGGAUGUUGGCUUAGAAGCAGCCAUCAUUUAAAGAAAGCGUAAUAGCUCACUGGUCGAGUCGGCCUGCGCGGAAGAUGUAACGGGGCUAAACCA